UGUCCACCAUGGCCCGGACAUCUCUUCUCCUUGUGCUUCUCUCCCACUGCACAGGUUCUGUCUCCCAGUCUUGUGCUGACUCAGUCACCCUCCCUCUCUGCAUCCCCGGGAGCAUCAGCCGGACUCACCUGCACUUGUCAUCAAUCAGCCCUCAGGAUUCAGCAUCCCUCCAGGGAGAUGAUGGAGGAGAAAGGAGGUGGUGACUCCUCCCAUGCCCAGCCUUGGGCCUAGGCCUGACUCACGAGACGUGUGAUCUGAGAGCUUCUGUUCAUGGCUGGGUCCAGCAAACCGCAGGCCCGGCUCCACUGAGCACUUCCCAGACUGAGGUCACUUUCCCUACAACUGCUCAUUUCAACUUCCUGGGAAUUGUUCUACCCUCUUGAGGCCCAGAGGAAGCAAAUCUGUGUGGCUCCAGGGAUUUUGGGCAAACAGGGUCUUCUCCAUAGUGAGAUGUGACUGUGUCUGUGACCUCCCUGUGUGCACAGGACAGCCAGACUCGGGCGUCCUACCCCUCAGAGUCAGGUUCUGUGACAGACGUCCCACUCGUGCAUCCCGUGCUCCCCUUCAGAGUCAGGUUCUGUAAUACACGUCCCACUCCUGCAUCCCGAGGUCAUCUGCUGCUCACGCUGAGACUUCAGUGAGUCUAGGGACUCUCGGGAAUGAGGGACAUUCUCAUAUGAAGAAGAUCCAUCCCACAAAUGUUUCAAUGGAGGAUCGUGGAUCUGUAGGGGAGCUGUGUCCUCACUCUGAGCUUCCAGGAAGUGACUCUCUGGACACCCUGGCCUGGCCUCCCCUUCUCUGCCUUCUCUGCAUAAGCGUCUGACUAAAGCUAUUUGGAUGGGCUCAUCAAAAGCUCCUUCAUUUUCCCUCUUUUCCAUACCCAGGACAGAAUGGAGUCUUUGUACUGGCUUCAAAUAAUUGUGAGCGUCAAAAGGCAUAAUCUGUGGGUGACUCCAAAGCCCCUCUCAAAGUUAACUGACUUGGGCUUGUCGUGACUGCACGUGCUCCUCUUCCCAUGACCUCAGCUUUCCCCGAGUUCCCCAGGUGCCGUGAACAUUGAUUCCCAUCUUGUCCUGCAUCUCCCCUGAGCAGCUGCAGAUUCUUCCUCCAUAUAACCUCCCUCCUUGCAUGAUUUCUCAUCCACUUCAUUUAUUAAAAGAGAAUCUGAGGGGUUUUUCUCCUGGAGUACAAACCCCAAACUACUCAGCUGCCCUGGCCCAGCCCAUCUCUUCUCUUUAUGAGGUUUAUGAGAGGCAGAAGAGCCAUGAGCCUUGCUAUUCUUGGAAAUGUCCCAGUAAAGCCCGAUUGGUACCAACACCACAGGACAAUGUGCUGUUUGCAUUUGCAGAUGGAGCCCAUUGAGGACAAUUUUCAUUUCUGAAUAUGGAUAUUUGGAAGCAUGGACCAACUGAGCUGGGGAGGGGAGGCACUCCCUUUUUUUGGACACAGCCUGUUAGGUUGGGAUUACUACUGACCAUGAGGUGAUGGGGUUAUGUUGCCUCUCAGAGAAGUCCUGGACCCGCAGAUGUGCUGGGGAACUUUGGUUAGAGAGAUGAUGUCAUUUACUUGAUCCUCCUCAGUAGUUUCGACAUUCUUUUGAGUCCCUUGCAGGACACUGUACUCGUGGUUCUAGCAGCCUGGCUCUUGAUUGGAAGCCUGUUAUUAAUGCAGCGUCCUGUCAGGGGAUCUUUGUGCGCGCACUAGGCCUAGAUGAGGUCAUAGACGGGACUUCUCUGGAGACUAAAGUCAAACUGAUCACCCCCCCCCACCAAGCUGUCCCCAUUUAAUGACACUUGCCUGUUGUUGUGUCAAUCUUUUUGUAAGAAGGGAAAAACUUCCCCCUAACUCAGCCGUUAACUAUGGACUGGGAAAUGCAGGUGGAGUUGUCACAUGGGUGAUUUUAAAUACAAGAAGGUUCUGACUUUGUUCCUCAGCCUGAGACUAUGGGGAGGUAUGAGAUAGUCCUCUGGAUUCUCUCUCUCUCGUUCCGGAGACAAAUGAUCAGAAAAGUGGACCAGAUUUUCACUCUUGAACUGAAACAGAUCUUCAAAAUGAAGUCUGACAUUUUCAACUGCGGAUGAACAUCAGAAAGGUAAUGAUAGAAAAAUUAUGGAAUUGGGCAACGAAUAUAAGGCGAUUUAGGUUAAUGUGAAAACUUCUGCAGUUCCUGGCGCACCUUGGGAAUUGACUGAAUACAUUUGCACAUGAGAAAGCCGCUGUCCAGGUCAGAGAAAAUUACACAGACAUGAUGGGCAGGAGAAAUGGUGGGAAAUCAGGCCCCCAAUGGGAUCAUCACAAGCACUUUUUCUAUCAACCAUGGCAGUCACUUCAGAUCAAAGGUGAAUUUCUCCUUCCUCAAGUUAUAAGCAACACUGGCAUAUUUGGUGAACGUCAAAGAAAAAGACUAAGAGGAUGAGAUACAUAAGAGGCCUCAGGAACAUUUCAGCAGAUGCAAAGCAGACUAUAGGGAUGAAGGCAUCCUAGGGUCAGGUGGCCUCCUGAUCCAAUGUGCCCGGUGUCCUUAUAAGAUGAUGGUAGUGAGGAGAUUGGAAGACACAAAGAAUGCCAUGUGAAGACGAAGGCAGAGAUUGAAUUUACACAGCUGCAAGACAAGGAACACUAAAGAUUGCUGGCAAGCCACCAGCAGCCAGGAAGAGCUGGCCGACACGGAAAAUAGAAAGAACCUAUAUUAAAAUAUUGGGGGCUGGUUCCCCCAAUAAUCACAUGACAUCAGGAUCACAUGACCAGAAACCUGCGCUCUCAAGGCAGUCUAAAUGUUGCCUGUCCUUAAAGAGAAAGUCACCCUUCCCCAGUGCCACCCUGUUUGAGCUCCUACAGGGACUUCACCAGAUGCAGCACCUCCAGGGAAGGUUCCUGUGCUGACCCCUUGGCUCCUCACUGGCUCUGCAUCUAUUCCCUGCCAUUCCCAGAGGGCUGCAGAUACCACAGGGUCAUGGAAGUCGGGUCACUGUGGCAGACAGAUGGCCACCCAAACUGGGUCCGGGCUGAGGGAUGACAAAGUUCCUUGCAUACGCAUCACUCACAGGUCACCAGCAGGAGGAUCCUGAGGCUGUGGUCAGUGCCCUGGCACAGCACACUUGGGCCAUGUCCCAUGCAGCACCGGUGACUCCGAGUGAGAGGGCUUAUGCUGCAGGGGAAGCCAAAGAUUCCUGAGCCACAGUGUUUAACUGGACGUCUUGCAUCUUGUGAGAUACCGUUCCCAGCAGUCCCAGUUGGGCUCUGACAUCUGAGUCUAUGCUAUUUACCUCAAAAACAGAGUUCUUCUAACAAAGUUACCCACAAUUUUAAUAUGUGAAGUGAGAGGAUCACUUUGCUCCUCACGCACUCCUGGUCAUGUCUGUGGAUGAGUAAGCUCGGGGGGGACGCUGCCGUGGUCCAUGGGAAGCCUCAAGAGCAGCAGGCCUGGCACAUCAGGCACAACAUGGGACACAGGGAGUGAGACAUGUCGGCAGAAAGCAGAAGAGAUUGAGACAUCAGAAACAACCCACCGCCAGACUCUCCACUGCCUUCCUGCCUGGGUCAGACCAGAGCUGCUCAAACUGAAUGUGCACGCAGAUCAUCUGGGCUCCUGGGAAAUGUGGGCUCAGGCGUUUAGGAUAGGGACUUAGAUUCUGCACUUCUAAAGAAGAUCCCUUUCCCUGCAAAUCCACAUUGUUUCUAUAUCAGAAAAUUAAUAAGAAUGGUGGAAAAUAAGAAGGAAAGCCAUUUGUAGACGGGAAGAAAAGAAACAUUUUUCAUGGAGAGAACUACAGAAUUUUCAUGAAAAAAGACUUCCAGUCGAGGCCGGCAGACAACCAGAGAGGACAGCUGAGAAGACGGAGGCUCCUCUUUCUUCAAGAAACAAAUGAAAGCAAAGAGACACCAAGCCUUCCCCUUACCUGCCCUGCCCUCUGGCUCCUGUCCAACCCCCCACCAGCUUAUCCUUCAGCCUCUUCUAAAUUGUGGCCCCUCACCUUGCCUUCAGAGAUGCCCCGAGUCCACUGCUUCUCUUUCUCAACCCACUAGCACCUUCUGCUACUCCCUGGGUUUCUCCUCAGCUACCAGAGGAUGCAGUGAACCAGCCAAUCCAAAUAAAUUAUCCUGUUCAACACUGAGCACUCGGUCUCCUUUGUGCGGAUCUGAGGAAUCAAGCAGGGAGAAAGAAUCCGGCUUUGUAA